rnacentral:lncRNA from 1 species
UGGUCUCGUGUUGGAUGACAUAUUGGCAGGCUACUCAUGUCGUCAAUUCGUCAUGUAUUUUUAUUCACACUCUAUCAUUUAGGCUUCCGCUAUAUUUUAUUUAAGAAAUCUGGCUUGUAUUUUGAACUCGAUUUGUAAUUUAAGUUGGGAACUCUAUGUUUGUAAACUGAAAUACCAUGUUAUAUCAUCUGCGCUCAUCUUCGUGUGAGACUUGUUGCAUGUUGUUUCGAUCGAGGUAUUCAGUGGUUGAAUCAGGCUUGACCCGACAGAUUGUCGGAUUACAC